GGGUGCUCUUCAGGCCUCCCUCAUUCUGCGCCUCAUAGAUACAUCAAGAGUCCUCUUACACUAAAGAGCAAAACUUGAAGCCAUCUCCAGAAUUCUAAUUUUUGUGCAUCAGCAUCUGGAAAUCUCGGCAUUUUUGGCAAAACACAGCUGGACUCCUGGAUGUGCUACAUCUUGAAAGAACUGGGAGGAAGACCUGGGUAUCUUCUACCUCUGGUGCUUUCAUCAGAGCUUGAGUGAAAAGGCUGGCCUAUAUUUGACUUGUUCAGUGUCAACUGCUGGCUUUACAAAAGUCUCUUCCAGGAAUAGAAUGGUAAAGGCAGCUUCCAACUUCUGGCAGUGCAAACAGUUGGACGUAGUAAUGGUGGUAAAGGCACUUCGGAGUCUGGAGGAGGACAUCUGCUCAUGGCCUAACAUGAAGUUAUCUGAGACAUUGAGAAAACAAAAGCAAGUUGCAAGAGAAGCACUGGAUAUGGACUGAUCCAAAUAAAGGAUUCAUCUCUGAUUCCACUGUUUACCAUGGAUGGAAGUUUCAACUGGAAUUCAUUGGUUACAUCAACGUGUCAUUUAGCAUCAUGAGGAGAACCUUCUCCGAUGAAAACGUCUUUAAUGCUCCUAAAAUUACAGAGGUACCUGGGUUUGCAGCUGUAUAAACUACAUACCUCUUCUGCUUUAUGAUUUCAGAAGACAAAAGAAAAUGAGAAUGAGCAAAUAAAAUGCCAUCCCUCUUCAGACAAAAAAAAAAAAAAAAAAGUCUAUAUUAGAGUUCACAGAUACAUCUGUUAGCUUUCAGGCAUUAUUCACAGCAACAACGUCUGCCUCUUCUGCUUUCCUCACAGCAGGAAAGUGAAAAGCUGAAAAACAACUGUUCCCUUUACCUCUCCCCAACAUCUAAUAUUUUCUUCUCCUUAGUCAAGUAUAUAGCUCUGUCUUCGCAUCUGUAUUUUCUCAGUUGUUGUAAUCCAGCAUUCUCUGGGCUGCCUUUUGCUCUCUGUUCCAAGAUAUAUUAUUACCUCCUGUAUAUUAUGCUCUCUUCCUUGUUUUGUACCCCACUACGUUUCUGGCACAUUACAUGCCCCAUGUGCUGGAUGAGAACAUUACCUGAUCCCAUGGUCGUAAAUAACUCUGUUAAUAGAUGUAGAUUAAUGCCAGGUUUUGAAUAAGGCUACUUCUACAGCUGACUUUCAAGUGUAUGAGUACAAACCAGCCUCAUCUGAACCGGUUUUCACUGCCACGGUGCUUUAUCCUGCAAACUGUAAGCAGGAUCCCUU
rnacentral:lncRNA from 1 species